AUGAUGAUACAAAACUCUUUUUAAACGGUUAGAACCUGAAUCCUUGUGAAGAUUUUUACUAGGGCGGACUGAUAUU